rnacentral:lncRNA from 1 species
GGUGGGGUAGGGGUUCAGAAGCAGAAGUUGUGUUUUCAGCCUCAGGGAGCUCUAGUGGAGAGACAAGAUUCGUGCAUGAAAUAAUUACGACUGUUGUAGAAAAAAGAAAAGCCUGUAGGUCUCCCUUCCUCCCUCCUUCUCUCUGUCUACCUCAGCAUUUCUGGGGUUCACUCUGCUCUGGGUACUGUGUAAAGGACUCCACAGCCAUCAACUUCCCUUCAUCCUUGCCGUGUCUUUGAAAGAGCUGAGAUUUCUUUACAUCACAGUGGUUCAAGGAGAAAAACACAGCCAGAUCCUUCCUCAUCUCAACAUAAAUUAAACCCAGAGGCAGUCAGCGCCACAGUCCACACUCGUAACCGUUACACUCACCUGGAAAUAAAAGUAUUUUUGUGCGGGGACUGCAAGGACUAAGCCCGGCCGCACUCCGAGUUUCUCCUCCUCACAGAUAGGGGCUGAGGCUCAGAGAGGGCAAGUGACCUGCCCAAAGUCACACAGCCGUGACUCAUUGCUCAGGUGAGGAAACUGAGGCUCAGAGAGGGUCCGUGGCAUGUCCAAGGUUACUCUGCUGUUAAUUGUUUUCUUGGCACUCUCUCCCUUCUCACCUGUGACUACCUGAGUGUCCCCAGAGGCAAGGAACUAUGUGAGCCACUCCAGUGUUCCCAGCCCCAAGGCCAGGCACAGUGGACAUUUAUUGCUGAAUGAAUGAAUCAAGAGAGAGGAUCAGAAAGCUGCAGAGGAUGAUAGAUCUGCAAAAUUCUCCCUGGGUGAGGCCCAGGCUCAGCUUCCAGAACAGCUCCAUCUGUCUCCCACUCACUGAGAUUGAACUAAUGUCCCACAGUUGGACAGACCUGAAAUUGAGCUCUGUGAUUUUGGAUACCUGCCCCUCUGCUGGAGAUUCUGCAUGUCUGAGGUACCAGCCAUUGCCAGAAACUGGGCUAUGUUCUCUCCUUUCAUUGUGCCAUUUCAUUCUCACCCCAAAAUGAAAACACACAAAAAAAUCACUUUCUUCCCAAAGAGAA